rnacentral:rRNA from 1 species
GGAGUAUGGACCGUGUCUCAGUUCCAUUGUGGCCGAUCACUCUCUCAAGUCGGCUACUGAUCGUUGCUUUGGUAGGCCGUUACCCUGCCAACUGGCUAAUCAGACGCGGGUCCAUCUUGUACCACCGGAGUUUUUCACACUGUACCAUGCAGUACUGUGCGCUUAUGCGGUAUUAGCAGUCAUUUCUAACUGUUAUCCCCCUGUACAAGGCAGGUUACCCACGCGUUACUCACCCGUCCGCCACUAAGUCAAAAAGCAAGCUUUCUGACUCCGUUCGACUUGCAUGUGUUAGGCACGCCGCCAGCGUUCGUCCUCGAGCCAUGAUCAAACUACU